rnacentral:rRNA from 1 species
GUGUCAGCAGCCGCGGUAAUACGUAGGCAGCAAGCGUUGUUCGGAAUUACUGGGCGUAAAGAGUGCGUAGGCGGUGCUCUAAGUUUGGUGUGAAAUCUCCCGGCUCAACUGGGAGGGUGCGCCGAAAACUGGAGUGCUCGAGUGUGGGAGAGGUAAGCGGAAUUCCUGGUGUAGCGGUGAAAUGCGUAGAUAUCAGGAGGAACACCUGUGGUGUAGACAGCUUACUGGACCACGACUGACGCUGAGGCACGAAAGCGUGGGUAGCAAACAGGAUUAGAAACCCCGGUAGUCC